AUUUUGACCUUCGGAUUCAGCAACGUUCCUAGAAAAGAUGGAGGGGCGAUGGAUAAAAUUAAGACCAGCAGAUAUCAAGCAAAGACGAAUGCAGGUUAUGGGACAUGCUGGAUAGAGAGCCUGACAGGGAGCUCAAAGUGGAUCUUGAUGGGAAGUUAGUUGUCCCCAACAUCAUUGAAUUAACCUGUAUACAACCAGACACAAUACUAGUGUUCCAGCAGUCAAAGACAUUGGUUGCAAUAUACUGACAGUGUCACUGUAAGAAAAAUUGUGAGGAGACAUAUGAAACUGAUAGACUCUGAUGCUUAAGUAUGCAGACUUGAUGGCAGACUGCAAAGAUGGUGCUCUUGGUUGUCUUUGAUAGAGGUUGGUUGCAGAGGGUUCCCUGCACAAUCUAUGGGGAACUCCGAUGCUGCUCACAAAAACAAUUGGGAAGAGCAUGUAAAAAACUAAUAAGAGGACUGGAAGAAACAGCAGAGUGGUCAUCUUCCUGGUUUUGGCACCAUCCAGAUCUUUGCUGGAUGUCAGGUCCAUCAAGUGGUAGAUUGGAGAAUGUCAUUGCCCGGCAGGGUCAAAACAUUUUGAGAUGGUUAGAGACAAUAUUUUGGCAAUCUGAAACAAGCACAAGAAGCGGAACAUAUUUAUAGAGAUUGGCAUACAUAAGAGUGCCAAGCUGACAGAUAGAUAAAAGAAAUCCAUCUUUUAUCCCAAUGUCAUUUGAUGAUCAUUCAUCAUAACUGCCUAAACAGCUACUAGAGAUCCAUUUGUUUUCAAGCAGAAAGAAAUUCUUUGUUGAUAGUAUUUUGUGGAAAACAAUACCAGU